rnacentral:sRNA from 1 species
UUGGGCAGUCGAAAAAUUCCAAAAACAAAUGCGCGCACACGCAAAAGUGAAAUAAUUAGCAUAAUCUCGAUUCGUAAGUGGCUGUGAAAUUCAAAGCGUAUGCUUUGAUAUUAAAGCACUUGGCCCUUCAAGUCAUGAGCAGCAGAUUGUAUGAAAACCAACAGCAACAACGAAGGCAGCAGCUAAACAACAAGACAAAAGUCGUUGUCGCAUUAUUACAACAAGAAAAGCUGUAAAAUAAAAAAAAAAAG